CGUGUAGGCGGACCGGAAAGUCGGGCGUGAAAUCCCUGGGCUCAACCCAGGAACUGCACCCGAAACUUCCGGCCUUGAGUGGUGGAGAGGGUAGUGGAAUUCCUGGUGUAGGGGUGAAAUUCGUAGAUAUCAGGAGGAACACCGGUGGCGAAGGCGGCUACCUGGACACUAACUGACGCUGAGACGCGAAAGCGUGGGGAGCAAACA
rnacentral:rRNA from 1 species